GAGAAGGAUAAGACGAAGAAAAAGACGAAUAAAAAAGAAGAAGAAGAAGAAGAAGAAGAAGAAGAAGAAGAAGAAAAGGAACAUUUGAAUCUAUGCCGCUUGUCUUCUCUCUCGCGCGCGCAUCUAUGUGUAUACUCGGUCAUUCACUGGCUAGCUCACUUUCGAUACCAGGCCGGAAAAGGUUGCCGACCGACCGUAGGAGUUGUUGCUCGCACUGAAAGGGCCUGUUUCCAUCUCUCUCUCUGUUACUAGAACGCUCCUUUUCCCGUCGACUGAUGCACCAACCAUUCCGAAGGAUGCAGCUCUCAGCAGAUUUUCACACGGCAGGUAUCCCUUCGUAAGAUUCUAGCGUGCAAAUGUGUUCGAAAUCUGCACGCGCG